GUCCCUGUAGCGCAAUCGAUAGCGCGUUGGACAUCUAAACCAGAAGUCAUGGGUUUCAAUCCCACCUGGGAUG